rnacentral:tRNA from 1 species
GGUGGGUUGGCUCAGUGGUUAGAGUUUAGGUCUCAUAACCGAAAGGUCGCGGGAUCGAAUCCUGCUAGAGGCUG